rnacentral:lncRNA from 10 species
ACACUCCCGGGUUGCCUUCCUCAAACUUGGGCCCACAAAACUCUCUACUUACGUAAUUUUGCCUCCAUUUUUUUCCUUUGGAUCAACAUAUCUGACAUAGCAGGAUUUGGAGUGACUCAGCCCUGACCACCCGGUGUUUCUCUCUGGAAGUAGUGCUCAGCAUCUGCACAAAUCCACUGUGUCCUCUGUCUUCAGAAGUCCUAUCCGGCGUUGCAGAAUGAAGGUCUCUGUCUCUGACUUUCCUAUUGAAGUCAGGGGAUCAGGAUUUUGUUUUCUGCCAACACAGAGAACGGCGGUUUGCUUUCGUUUUCAGCUGAGGUCUUGUUGCAUUGUGACCUUUCAUUCUGGAAAUCAGACUUGUUUCACCUAUGACCAACCUCUCUUGAAGUUAUUUUUCCUAAUUAAUGAGAGUGAAUGGAUUCUUCACUCUAAAGAUGAAAGGCUCUUGCUCCCUCUGACCUGUUAGAGUGCUCUAAAUAAUUAGAGACGUGGUGGAGGUGUUGGACCCUUGUCCAUGAUAUCCAGUGGCCUUACAGGGUUUCCUCUCUCAGAGGAACAUCUGCAAUCUCUUGCUCUGCC